UGUCUUUUGACCUUUUGACUUCUUCCAGGAGUUACAUUCUUUAACUCCACACGUGAGAGAGGCAACGUUGGAGAAGAAGAAGCCGCAGGGGGAGCUCCUUGCCAUCGCGUCGGUCAUGGUGAAGAUUGUUACUGAAGGCGGCGCUUUUAGGAUAGGGUGGAGGCUGUGAUAAAAAGAGGAAAGAAAAAGUAUUUGUGAAAGAUAUGGCUCCUCCGAAGGUUUACUUGUUUGAUGAGAUUGCCAAGCACAAGAAAACCGAGGAUUGCUGGCCGAAUAUCUCUGGAAAGGUCAGAUCUCUUUCUAAAAGUUUCAAUUUUUUGUAGAUUUGAGAUCAAAAGGGGGCAAUUCUGUUUGGUAGCUGAGAAAAAUUAGUGUGAGAUACAAGAUGAGAACUUUGACUUGUUGUGGUUAGUUUUAUUUACCCUUUUGGAUUUUUUGUGUAUUGAAAACUAAAUAUGUAUCAGUGCUAUCAAUUUUAUUGCAUGAUCAAGCUGUUAAAAGUUUAUUUUUAAUGCCUAGGACUGGAGAAGUUUGUUGAAAUUAAAGGACUACCUUAUCUAAUGCCUUCUCUCGGUAAACAGUGAACCAGUAAUAUCAAUACUGCAUAAACUUGCUAGAAAACAUGCCUAGGUUUAUGGCAGUUCACUUAUUAUUCUCAUGUCCAUUGUCUGCACUAAAUCAGACUAGCUCCAUUACAAAAUCAAAUCCCAGCAGCAUGUUCUCAUAAGUAAUUUUUAGAUGUUUUUCUAAGUGAAAACUGAACAACACCAUGCAUUUAAAAAUGAGCCUUUUUGUUAGCAUCGCAGUGCAGUCCAUUGGUCAUCAUUCAUUUUUCUUGCAUCUAGUCUUGUAACAAUGCAUGUAAAAAUAAGCUCCUUCCACUCCUUUUCAUCUUAUAUUUCCAGUUAUUAUAAACAACAUUUUAGAACUCU